rnacentral:lncRNA from 1 species
CCCUUGCCGACUCUUUCUCUUGCUGCCUGCUCUCAUUUCGUGAGGAGCUUGGUUUACUGCAAGUUUGGGUAAAUAGUGUUCUUCUGAGUAAUUAGUAUCCAAUUAGGCCACAGUUUCUUGUCUGUGUGAGUCAAGCCUCUUACCCAACCCCUGGGAAGAAUUAAAUAGGUCAGGCCUCUGUUUACAGACCAGAGCCAUGCUGACUGCUGCAGGCACUGUUCAAUUAUCCCUGGUAGCCAGAGAAAGACAGUCCACAUUCUUGGUCCUUGUGAAAGGGGCUGAACCAAUGGCCAGGUGAUCUGGGUACUUCUUCUCUGACAUGGGCUGUGGGAGGUUCCACAGCUAUACUGACCAUGAAAGAAGCCCAGCCCCACCCUGUAAGUGACAAGGUCCCCACAGGCAGACACUUACUGGAAAGGAUACCUGUGAUGAAUCUCCCUGCUGACUAAUGUCUAAAUUGCUUUACUGUUCCCAACUGUGUAUUAAAUCUCCUAAAGUGGAUGUGUAUUCACACGUAUGUUUACAUAGACAUGGGGACCAGAAGGCAACAUCUAGUAUUGUUCCUGCUAAGCCAGAUAACUUGUGAGCCCCAAGGAUCUACCUAUGUCUCCCCUGUGCUGGGGAGCAGAGCCACAAAGUCAGUAGCAGGAUGGAAGAUUCACUCCUUUAGAACAAAGCCACCAUGAAUGGAGUCUUUCGGGACCCGAGACUGGAGCUAUGGAUAGUCCAUUGAUGGGGAGCUAGAAAGGCAGAGCACGUCACAGCUGGAAGGCCCUGGCCAAGGAAAAGAGCCGGCGAAUGGACUCCUGAGGCUAGUGCUCCCAAGCCCGGUCACAGGCGGCUGUGAAGGUACAGACCUGGCCUUAACCCGAGGCUGGAGCAUGGCGACUGCUGCUGAAGACACAUUUGCAGCUCAGGCAGCUUCAACACUGCAUGAGAAGGAACCCCAGUGAAGGGACUCAGCCAUUCCUCCUGCAGGUUCUCACACAGCUCCCAGAAAGAACACUAGUGAAAAAUUAACAUCAGUGUAAAUGCACACUCACAUAUCCCCAAACAGUGGAGAUGGGCCAAGACACAAGAUGGAGAGAUAAAUGGGUUUUGCUGAAUGGAAAAGUGUUCUAAGGAAAGUGGAACUCAACAGAAUCAG